CAAAUUUAAACGCGAUAUCCUAUGCCCACGUAUUUAUUCUGACGACGCCUUGUAGUUUUUAAGUCGAUGGAGUGUCAUUCGUGACGACGCUGCAGCGCGACUUUCAGUAGGCGCGUAAGAAUUAUAAGUUCCGAAACGUAAAAAUUCCGAGUUUAAACGCGAUAUCCUAUGCCCACGUAUUUAUUCUGACGACGCCUUGUAGUUUUUAAGUCGAUAGAGUGUCAUUCGUGACGACGCUGCAGCUAGGCGCGUAAGAAUUAUAAGUUCCGAAACGUAAAAAUUCCGAGUUUAAACGCGAUAUCCUAUGCCCACGUAUUUAUUCUGACGACGCCUUGUAGUUUUUAUGUCGAUAGAGUGUCAUUCGUGACGACGCUGCAGCGCGACUUU